CCCUAUGGGGUGCAGCAGGCUUUUUCUAAGGCCGUCGCGCUUAAUCCCGUUAAUGACCGGAUCCACGGCGGGAUAGCGACCGUGUUUUGCCAGACCGGCAACCCGGAUUCACUUAAGGAAUAUUGGGCAAAAGCUAAUAUGCUUCGAGAAGAAUUUUAUGCCCCUGAGACAGCCGAGAAUUACCGCGCGAUAGAAAAGGUGCUCAGGUACAGGUCGAUCCGCCUGGUGUGCGUUCAAUAUCCGGUUCGCAGCGCAAAACCGCUUGCGCACAUAUUCGCAGGGCAGAAAGGGGUCAUUUUUGUCGAUAACGAAGAAGUAUUCAAGCGGGCCAUCGAAGAAGAAGGCUACAGCGCCUACUUCAGGGAUAUGUUUGCCGGGGACUUCGGCCAUUGUACCGAAAAAGGCAAUAAGCUAUUGGCGGGAGGGC
rnacentral:rRNA from 1 species